rnacentral:rRNA from 1 species
GCAGACCCGGAGAACUGAAACAUCUUAGUACCCGGAGGAAGAGAAAGAAAAUUCGAUUCCCUGAGUAGCGGCGAGCGAAACGGGAAGAGCCCAAACCAAUAAGCUUGCUUAUUGGGGUUGUAGGACACUCUAUACGGAGUUACAAAGGAAUAUAUUAAACGAAUCAUCUGGAAAGUUGAAUCAAAGAAGGUAAUAAUCCUGUAGUUGAAAAUAUAUUCUCUCUUGAGUGGAUCCUGAGUACGACGGAGCACGUGAAAUUCCGUCGGAAUCUGGGAGGACCAUCUCCUAAGGCU